rnacentral:lncRNA from 1 species
GAAACCUGGGGAUUGAAAAGCUACAUUAUGAGAGAGGGAGAGGACAUGGUGAGAUCCAUCAUAAUGAAGAAAUGGUUUUUGCCACUACUGAUUGUUGCAUAGGACGUUUGCUUGAGUGAGUGCGAAGCAUUUGAUACCCAGGAGACUGGCAGUCUUCACUAUACAGCCAAUAGAUGGGUGAAAAGCACCAUGUUAUCAUUGCUGUUUGACAAAUGGGAAAUCAGAAAUGGGAAGUUAUGCUACUAGAAUUAAGUGGAUCAUUGAGAUUUAGGGGUGACUCUAGGAGACCUUAAGAUUGAAAAACUGCCAGGAGGAACCUGUAGGUCUGCUUUCUCUAUCACGUUUGGAGAACAAGUCUCCAAAGAAAUUCGCCUGAGCUUGAUGCAGAGAUUCCUGGACUAGAUUCCUGAGAAAUCUAAUGUCAGCUACAGAAAUGCCCCAACUGAUGGAUUUCAUCAUGAAGCAGAGCCUCAGAGCAGAAGCAUGUCAGCUAAGCCGGCCCCAAUUCCUGGGGACCACUGGGAAAGCUGAUGCUGGCCUCCAGAGACUUUCAAAGCAGCCAUAUGUGUUCCUCUCUACUAACAGUGUAGAUGGCCAUCUAGGUUGUAGUCAUGAUACCCCCUAAAGUCACUGAAGAUGUAGUAUUCUUUGUAGCCUCGUCUUCUAUACUGUGGGGAAAUGAAGGAAUAGAACUGUAUUCCUAUUGUCAGCAAAUUGGUAGGGGAAAGCAACAGCAGCCAAGAGGAGACAAUUGGUGAAUAGCAGUUUCCAAGUGGUGGGCUCCGGAGCACAAUGGUAGCUUGUAAUGAACACAUUCAGUAGACAUUUUAAGCUUUUACAUUUGGGUGUAUUUGAUUUAGUCUUAAUAUUUAUAGAUGAUAUUAAUGGUAGUAAUUAGUCUUUUCCCACUACUCAAGUCCUUAGAACUCUCUCCAUUCUUUGUGCUCAUUCACACUAAGCCCAAUUCAGAAAAAAAAUGAACUUUUAAAAAUGUUUCUUACAUGUCACUCAUAUAUCCAUUUAUUCAUCUAUCCAAGACAUAUUUCUUAUGCAGCUACUAUGAAGUUGGCAUUGGAAAUAAAGUGGUGGAUGAGGUAUGGAUUAUAUUUGAUCAAGCUCAUGGAAUUUAGAGCACCAUGGAGCAAUAGAUUAAAAAAAUAGUUUAAUACUUACUUAUAAUAAUAUUUAGAACUUUGAAAAAU